CAGUCGCCGCGGUAAUACGUAGGUGGCAAGCGUUGUCCGGAAUUAUUGGGCGUAAAGCGCGCGCAGGCGGAUAGGUCAGUCUGUCUUAAAAGUUCGGGGCUUAACCCCGUGAUGGGAUGGAAACUGCCAAUCUAGAGUAUCGGAGAGGAAAGUGGAAUUCCUAGUGUAGCGGUGAAAUGCGUAGAUAUUAGGAAGAACACCAGUGGCGAGGGCGACUUUCUGGACGAAAACUGACGCUGAGGCGCGAAAGCCAGGGGAGCGAACGGGAUUAGAUACCCCGGUAGUCCCUGUCUCUUAUACA
rnacentral:rRNA from 1 species